rnacentral:rRNA from 1 species
UGUGUACUCACUAUGUUGCUUUGGCGGGUCGACCUGGUUCCGACCCAGGCGGCCGGCGCCCCCAGCCUUAACUGGCCAGGACGCCCGGCUAAGUGCCCGCCAGUAUACAAAACUCAAGAAUUCAUAUUGUGAAGUCCUGAUAUAUCAUUUAAUUGAUUUAAAACUUUCAACAACGGAUCUCUUGGUUCUGGCAUCGAUGAAGAACGCAGCGAAAUGCGAUAAGUAAUGUGAAUUGCAGAAUUCAGUGAAUCAUCGAAUCUUUGAACGCACAUUGCGCCCUCUGGUAUUCCGGAGGGCAUGCCUGUUCGAGCGUCAUUUCAACCCUCAAGCUCUGCUUGGUAUUGGGCAACGUCCGCUGCCGGACGUGCCUUGAAGACCUCGGCGACGGCGUCCUAGCCUCGAGCGUAGUAGUAAAAUAUCUCGCUUUGGAGUGCUGGGCGACGGCCGCCGGACAAUCGACCUUCGGUCUAUUUUUCCAAGGUUGACCUCGGAUCAGGUAGGGAUACCCGCUGAACUUAAG